CACAGCAAGGGCUAUAUAAGAAAGUUUGGCGCACAGAAGAAAUUGUCAGUCAGCCGUUAAAUCAAAUUGAUUCUAUUGUGUCUGUCCGUGAAUCCUCCCGCAACUGGCGCCCGAACAGGGACCCUCAGAUUUGCUGCUAAUGCUGCUGGACAGCGUGAAGAAGGCAGGUCGAAGGGGGGGGGAAAAGCCGGCUGAAACUAAAUCGCUGCCCUGGCGAUUUCGUCCGCAGUACCCAGCGGACGGCCCGCGAUCGGCGGAAGAACGGCCCGUAACCGACGGGGGACCCGCAACUGGCGGAAGAGGUGCACCUCGGACCACGGUCCAAGAAGGGAUCUCACUUAAAAGGCAAGUGAGCGGUCGGGGAGGAGAUGAGGUCUACGCUUACCAAAGAAGAGGAAGCAGUAGCGGAGCUCCUCCAACACAUACUCUCUGUGAGAGGAAUUCCUUAUGAGACGCAAGCACUUAAAGGCUUGCUGCAAUGGGCACGGGGCAGAAACUUAAUCCCUGGGGUCGGUACAGCGUUUGAGUUGUCCGCCUGGGAAGCCAUAGGUCUGAGCCUAUGGGAUAACAUCAGCAGCGGAGGAAAAGAUGGAAAAGAGGCUAGCAAAUAUUCUACAUUACGGAAAUUGAUCAGAGAAAUCUUACGUUCUAGGAAAGGGAAGCGGGUCGCGUGGAUCGUUGCCGUUUCUGCUUUCGCUGCCUUAAAUCCUAAUGGGGAGGAUAAGAGCGGUGCUGCCGCAGCCUCUCCUUCCCCUGUAAACCCUUUUGCCCAAAACUUAGCGAUACCGGGUCUGCGGGUUCUGGCUGUGCCCCCCGCCCCCCGCUGCCAUCAGGGCACCUCCCGGGGCUGGUCACCGCCCUAAUGACCGGAAGUGCACAGCGGGACGGAACAAAGCCGACUGAGGCUGAAGCGGAAGUGAAGCCGCACAAAACGAGGAAGAGGGCGGUCCCGCCUGCAGACCAAAGGCGGAACUGUACCCACCGUCGCCCGUAUCUACGUCAUCUACGAUAGCAGCAGCGACACCCGGUCAUCAUGAAGCGCCGCAGGGAUCGGUGGAAGAAUUGCUGAAAAAUUUUAGAUAAGCUUAACGACCUCAACCUACAAAACCAGGGCUCGACAGCGAAGCCUUUACUGACGGAGUACAUGACUUACCCGCCCGCCCCUCCUGCCGCCGCUGUUCUUAAUGUUUAUGUAAAAGAAAAAGCCUCCAAGGACGCUGUGUACAUUUACACAGAUUCUUUUGCAGUCUUUAAGGGCUAUGUAGAAUGGAUUACUUUCUGGGAAAGUAAUAAUUGGGAAAUUAACGGAGUGCCAGUUUGGCAUAAAGAAAAAUGGCAACAAAUACUGAAAAUUGCUAAAGAGAAUCCUAAUUUUCAUGUAGGGUGUAUUCCUUCUCACCAGACUAAUUUGAAAAAUGAAGCUAGUAAGUGGAAUAACUAUGUUGAUGAGCUAGCUAGAAUUGAUGUGAAACAAAUUUGAUCAGCUAUCUCAGAAGGAGAAAAUCAGGAAUGGAAAAGAUUGCUUGAAUGGCUCCACUGUAAAAGAGGCCAUUCAGGAAUCUUUGUCUUAUACAAAGAAGCACAAGCCCGUGGGUGGCCUGUCACCCGUGAGCGGUGUAAAACAGUCAUUUCUUCAUAUGAUCUUUGCAAAAUCGGACUUAGGGAACAUUCACUAACCUCUGGUCAUUUGCAUAUCAGGGAAGGAAAACCCUUGUGGUCCACGUGGCAGGUGGAACACAUCGGUCCCUUCUGAAAAUCAGGAAACAAACAGUAUGUCAUUGUGAUUGUGGAGGUAGUAUCAGGCUUAACCUGUGCUGAAGCUGUUUCUAAAGCAAAUGGAGAAAACACAGUUCAUUUUCUGGAAAAGGUAUUUGGGGUUCUUCCUAAACCCACAAAUAUCCAAUAUGACAACAAACUCAUUUCACCUCACACCUGGUACAACAGUGGGCUAAAAGGGAAGGUAUCAAAUGGACGUUUCAUGUCCCAUACUACCCACAAGCUAAUGGGAUAGUAGAAUGUAUUAAUGGUUUAAUUAAAAGUCUCAUUCGUCCGUAGGAUUCCAGAUGGGAUGAGAGGUUAAGAUACGCAGUCUCUACUAUAAACAACAGGUAGGGGGUGAAUGGGUGCCCUCGCCUAAAUGCUCUUUUUCCCUACGUCACCUACUCAGGAUAAUGGCCAGCACAGAAGACCUUACAACAAAUCCAAAACUCCCCUCCACCCUGGACAGACUGUUUUGGCAAACCUGCCAAAUAUUGGUUUCGACAGUUUUGUCUUACUUGGGGUAUCCAACAUGUCCACGGCAUCCCACAUUCACCGACGGGUCAAGCAAUGGUUGAGCGGGCUCACCAAACACUGAAAAAUUUGCUUAUAAAACAAAAAGCGGGAGAGCCUAGUACCUCGUCUGAAAGGUUAGCUAAGGCAGUGUAUGUGUUAAACUAUUUACGUCUUACAGGAGAGAGAUGAGAUUCGCCUAUGGUCAUUCAUAGUGCUGCCUUAAAAACUGAAAUAUCUGAACAACAAAAGGUUUUGGUACAGUAUAAAAAUUUGAAUACAGGGCUUUGGGAAGGUCCAGCCGAAGUCAAACUAACUGGUAGAGGAUAUAUGUGUUUACUUACAGGAGAGGGCCUUCGGUGGGUAAAACCAUGGAAGGGACCACACCCCAAAGACUCAUCUGUAGAGGGCUCAGCAUCAGAGUAAUAUUGCAGGGAGCCGCUUAUGUUUUUCACACCAUUAACCCCCAGCACAAAAUGAUAUUAAAUCAUAUCCAUCACCACAGGCAAAACAGGGGUUGCAACACAUAACAUUGAAAAGUAUUAGCAUAGUAGAUUUGUAGAAGGUUAAAGAGCACUUUACUGUUAAUUUGUUUUGCUUCAGCUUGCACUCGUAAAAGCUUUGAUAGAACUGAAUAAAUUAGCAUGCUUUGUAGCAAAAAGGGCCAAUGAGAUUUCUGAAAUAUUGAGUGCCUUAGUAACUAAUAUGAAUACUGUUAGCCGUGCUGUUUUACAGUAUCAUGCCGCUAUUGAUUUUAUUGUUAGCACAGAAUCUUAGUUGUGAAGAUUUUAACAGAGUGUGUUGUGUGAACUUAUCUAAUCAUUUAACUUUUAUUCAUAAGUAGUUGCAGGCUUUGCAAGGGAACAACUUCUGGAUGUGCCAAAGAAGGAAGUGAAUCAGCCAAUCCUCCCAGCUUCAUGUCAUCAGCAAACUUGCUGAGAAGACUGUCUGUCCCAUCAUCAAGGUCAUUGGUAAAGAUGUUGAACAGGACUGGACCCAGCACUGAUCCCUGAGGGACUCCACUAGUUACAGGUCUCCAGCUGGACUCUGCACCAUUGAUCACCACUCUUUGGGCUCUAUUGUGUAGCCGGUUCUUAAUCCAUCUCACUGUCCAUUCUUCUAUCCCAUGUUUCCUGAGCUUGCUCAUGAGGAUGUUAUAGGAGACUGUGUCAAAAGCCUUGCUAAGGUCAAUGUAGACUACAUCCACUGGUCUCCCUGCAUCUAUCCAUUUAGUCACAACAUCGUAGAAGGCUAUCAGAUUACUCAAGCAUGAUUCCCCCUUGGCAAAUCCAUGCUGACUACUCCUGAUAACCUCCUUCUCUUCCAUGUGCUUAAAGAUGACCUCCAGAAUGAGCAGCUCCAUCAUUUUUCCAGGAAUGGAGGAGAGGCUGACUGGUCUGUAAUUUCCUGGAUCUUCCUUCUUGCCCUCUUUGAAGACUGGAGUGACAUUGCCUUUCCUCCAGGCCUCAGGCACCUCUCCUGUUUGCCAUGAUCUUUUGAAAAUGAUGGAGAGUGGUAGGGCAGUAACAUCAACCAGCUCCCUCAACACUCUUGGGUGCAUCUCAUCAGGGCCCAUGGACUUGUGUAGAUUCAAUUUGCAUAACUGAUCUCUGACCCACUCUUCAUUGACUAGUGGAGAGUCUUCCCUCCUCCAGGCUUCCUCUCUUAUAUCCGGGGUCUGAAGUUAGUAAGGACUGGUCUUAGUAAAGACUGAAGCAAAGAAGGCAUUCAGCAACUCUGCCUUCUCUGCAUCCUCUGUUAUCAGCGCUCCCACCUCAUUCAGCAGUGAGCCCACAUUUUCCCUUUUCUUCCUUUUAGCACUGAUGUAUUUGAAGAAACUCAUUUCAUUCUCCUUUACUUCCUUUGCCAGUUUAAGUUCUAAGAGGGCUUUGGCCUUUCUUGUUGCCUUCCUACAUAUCCUGACAACAUCCCUAUAGUUCUCCCAAGUGACAAGUCCCUUCUUUCAUGAACUGUACAUUUCUUUCUUCAGCGAGACUUUCUUCAGAAGAUCCUUGCUUAUCUAUGCAGUUUGUUUACCACCUCUACCCGAUUUUUUUACUUGAAGGAAUGCACCUAUCUUGGGCUUGAAGGAAGUGGUAUUUAAAAAUUGACUAGCUGACAUGGCCCGGAUUUAAUAACCCAGGAAGGUUAGAACUGGACCCCCUUGCUUUCUAAGCUCCUGCUACAAUAGAGGAGCCUAGGUGCGGCUGGAUCCAGUCCUGUACAUGUCACAACUCAGACUGGGCAGCCCAGGAAGAUUAGGACUGAACCCCCUUGCUUUCUAGACUUCCUUCAGAAAGGAGCCUAGAUGCAGCUGGGCUCAAAAUCAAAUCCUUCUCUCAGACCUGGUCUUUUCCCAGAGAGAGUAAAUGUAUGAUGGUCCGAGUAAAAGCUCGACCGUCCAAUACCCCUUCAUUAGCUUAAGGUGCAGCAACACACAAGGUCUGCUUAUAAGAAAUAACACAUUUAUUACACUAGUAGGAGUUAAUACUGAACAACCUGAACAAAAGCCACCCACAUAUAUAUAUAAAGUAAGGAAAAUGGGAUGACAAGAAAAAGGUGAGAAGGGAGGAGAAAGAGAAAAAUAAAGAGAACAGGAAAAUCACCAGUCCUGGUUCCAGCGUCGUUGGUCCAGCCAAUGGGGGAGGGUCGAUGUCGAUGGUCAGUGUUGAUGAAACUCCCAAAGCCCACCAUUGCAGCCCCCCUAUUUUAUAUGCCUAGAAUCUUGAUUUCACAACAAGUACCUGUGAUUGAGCCAUACAUGUGUGAGCAGCUGGAGUGGACCUCCACCCCCUCCACCCCUCGAUCAUUGUGUUAUCUCAAUCUAUGCAGGCCAUUACUGUAGUUUCCAUCCUUUCAGGCAGGCCUUUUGGGAUGCAUAUGAGCAGGGGCUACAACAAGGUUUCCCAAAGUAGGUCUGGAGGGCUGGUCCCUCACACUAGCUUUCCUGGGCUCCCUUUCCUUCCAGAGUUUUAGCCCAUGGGAUUCCUGCAAGUAGAUCUUUGAAGAGUCCAAAGUUAGCCCUACAGAAGUCCAGGGUUGUAAUCCUACUUAUUGCCCUGCUUCUUGCUUGUAAAAUACUAAACUCCAUGUCAUGGUCCCUGUCGCCAAGGCUAUUCCAAACUUUAAUGUCCCCAACCAGACCUUCUUUAUUCGUUAAUACAAGGUCUAGCAGUGCAUCUCUCCUUGUUGGUUCCUCCACUACCUGCAUUAGAAAGUUAUCAUCAAUGCACUGCGAGAGCCUUUUGGACUGAACAUGUUUUGCUGUGCGGGCUUUCCAGCAAAUAUGAGGGUGAUUGAAGUCACCCAUAAGUACUAAGGAGUGUGAUCUAGAGGCUUCUAGGUGACUGUAGAAGGCCUCAUCGACAUCUUCUUGGGUUGGUGGUCUAUACUAGACACCCACAACAGUUUCACCUUCAAUUGCAUGUCCCUUAAUUCUUACCCACAAGUUUUCAACUGUCCUACCUCCUCCCCUGGAUAGAACUCAAUACAUCCCAGUUGCUCUUGUACAUAAAGAGCAACACCACCGCCUUGCCUUGUUGCUGAUCCCUCCUUGGCUCUCCAAUUGCCAGAUCAGCUUAUGAAUGGGGAUCACAGAGUCUCUGUUGGUGCGAUAUUGUCGUCUAUGCACUGUUGAAGUGGCAAUUGGUGCCUGUUGGUCUUCAACCUUCAGCAACCCCACUAGAGAUGGGUCAUCUGAAAGGCCAGGCAAAGUAUGCAGCUGUUCAGUGUCCUCAGUCUCUACAGCUGCUAUACCAAAGGCCCACUGGUACCCUUUUGGGUCACAGAAAUAUCCUCUCUUGAGGUAGAUUAUACCAAGGAUGCAUGGAGCAUUUGGGCCAGUCACUAUAGGGUGCUGUGGGGAACGGUCCCCCUUCUCCCCCCUACAUAAAACUAAAUAAAAUGCCUUUUAAGCCA